AUUGAACGCUGGCGGCAUGCUUUGCACAUGCAAGUCGAACGGCAGCGCGGGCUUCGGCCUGGCGGCGAGUGGCGAACGGGUGAGUAAUACAUCGGAACGUGCCCAGUAGUGGGGGAUAGCUCGGCGAAAGCCGGAUUAAUACCGCAUACGACCUGAGGGUGAAGCGGGGGAUCUUCGGACCUCGCGCUAUUGGAGCGGCCGAUGGCAGAUUAGCUAGUUGGUGGGGUAAAGGCCUACCAAGGCGACGAUCUGUAGCUGGUCUGAGAGGACGACCAGCCACACUGGGACUGAGACACGGCCCAGACUCCUACGGGAGGCAGCAGUGGGGAAUUUUGGACAAUGGGCGAAAGCCUGAUCCAGCAAUGCCGCGUGUGUGAUGAAGGCCUUCGGGUUGUAAAGCACUUUUGGCGGGAACGAAAAGGACUGUGCCAAUACCACGGUUCGAUGACGGUACCCGCAGAAUAAGCACCGGCUAACUACGUG
rnacentral:rRNA from 1 species